AUUUCUUUAAGCAUGCUCUCCCAAAAGAAACUACGAAAACAAUUAAUAAAAACACAGAACCAAGAAACUGACCCAUCUCUCAAAUCCAUCAACAAUGGCGGAAGAAAACCCCACUCUUCAAUCUCUCUUCCAUGCACUUGACCCCAUGUCUCUAAUCCUUUCCCACAAUUCCUUAGACUCUCGCCAACCGGUCCCUCUGAAACUCACCACGGAUAGCUACAUCAUGGAGAGAGGACCAAGAUACAGAGCAUAUGCAGAGUUGCGAGAAUCAAAGCUGAGAAUGAAGAUCUUAAGGCAACAAGAAAGAGAUGAGAGUGAUUUUAAACAAACACCACCGAAGAAACAGGUCAAAUUUCAAGCCAAUUUAACUAGUUCAAGAAAAGGGUCUUCUGUUUUGGCCCAGUCAGUGCCAGAUUUCUCAGCUACUUUAAGAAAAGAGAAUCGAAAGCCGAAGCCAGAGUGGACACCUCCAUCAAAGAAUUGGUCAACGAUAAAUGGGAUUCUGUCGAAUUCUAGAGGAAGUAAGUCAGCGAGCGCUGGAGAGAAAAAGAAUGGAAAUGGGGGACUAAUGUCGAGAAAGAGCUGUGCAAGUGUUGAAGCAUUGAAGGGAUUGUCAAUGGCUGCAGCCACUGCUAUAAAUGGCGAAAACAGGGGAGGAAGAGGUGGCAGAGUAAUUGGCAAGACUGUGUUGGGUUUGAGGCAGUUCUGACUUUGAAUCCAUGGUGAUUCUACAAAUGAUGUGAGAGAUUUGUUAUUUUCUUUUAAUUUCAUUUUCUUGGGUUCUUAAUUGGAUGUGGCGUUAUGAGAGGUUUUCUUUGUUACUGCUACGAUUCUUUGUUUAGUUGAGAGAUUUGCUUAUGGUGGAUUGUAAAGCUCUGGAUGUAAUCAUGUUUAACUUAUGAUUAAGCUCAUUCACUAACAAAAAUAAAUAAGCAAAUAAAUAAAGUCUUAAUGCUUACAAUAUAAAAGAUUCCAUGAGUUUGUUAGGAGUUUAUAUCAGCACCUGAGAUGCAUCUCAAGUCAUGGCUAUUGAUGCCAAAACAAACAUAUAACUAUAAUCCGAUCUGGUGACUGUGUCCCCUCAUUCUUGACAUGAAUACUGCCUAUCCAUAAUAUCAGAGUCCCAAAUGCCACGAGGUACGAGCAUUAACAAAUUAAAAAUUGAACCUUUGCAACUGCAGACUUGUGGUGUACAUCCAGCAUUCUGAUGCUGCUGAUAUAAACUAAGCAAGUUUUCAGAUUCAUGAUCAUACCACUGAUGUUUCCAGCCAGUGUUCUCAACUUCUCAUUUUCAUAGCGCCCUUCUUCUGAAGUUUUGUUUUGAGUCUGGAUUCAUUGCCUUUUUCCUUUCAUUGUUAAUUGUUAUGUUCAGUGGUUAAUAGUUUAUAUCAUGAUUAAUGUGCAUCGUUUGACAGCUACUCGCCAAAUAUCAAGGAAAUAAAAGUA
rnacentral:misc_RNA from 1 species